UUGCACUACAUGGUCUUAUUUUCCCACUUGACAGUCAUAUCUCCCACAUCAAUUGUUGCUGGGUAGUGUUGCCGUUGUAAAUUUGUAACGUUUAUAUGUGACGUGGCAGCGGGAGAAGGAGACUAGCGGAGGCAGAGAGAGGGGUAGCUUGCUUCUGUGCCCGUUACAGUUCGUUUUUUACCUUUUUUUUUUGUGUUUCGCUUCACGGCAAGACACGAGCGAGGUUCUUCAAGGUUGGAGUGAAUGAAGACGCGGGAGAAAGGGAGACAGGAAUGCUCGCUAUCCCUUACCAUAACAGCGACGGAGCUUGAUGAGAUUGCUGGAAGCGAACGAGGACUCAAAGUAGGGGCUCUCGCUCAUGACUUCGCAGCGGUACACCCCCUCGGAAUCCAGGCGCAGCUCCCUCAGGGUCACCACGCGCUCGUCCGACUGGGAAAGCUGUGGGGAAAAACGAGGCGCGAAGAACCGGGAGUGUUAGACACUCCAGCCUCGCCUGCCGCCCCGCCACUCCUGGCUGCGGCACCUUGACGUUGUGGACUUGAACCCCCAGUGCUCCUAGUUGAAUGUAAGCCCAGCCUGAAUGGGAGGCGAGGGAGGGACAGACGUAGGCGAGAA